rnacentral:lncRNA from 1 species
GAUGCCCACCAAUAUUAAAGAUCUUCUAUAAAUAGCAGUUUGUGCUAAAUGCAGUGUAAUUCACUCUGUGGAAGGAAUUAGUGGUCUUACCCAUUCAAGGCUGAGAACUUACCAUCCUGUGUUCCAUAUUAGUACACUUUUUCAUUUUAUAAUCACAGAUUUCUGGUUUUGUGUCCUUCACGAUUGGUUAAAUGCUACGGGCCCUCUGACAAGAUGAAAAAAGUGAUACAUACCAUAGUAAAUAAAUGUUAUGUGAAACAGGAGGCAUAUAAUUAUGCACUAGUGUAUUAAAAUAUGGCUAGCAGUUCAAUUUAGGUACAACAAAUUGCUGUUUAAUUAGCUGCCCGUGGUUUACUCAGAAGAUGUAGAAAAAAUAAUAAAAAUCAAAAGCUGAUUUUAUUGUUAUUACUGGCUAAAUGGAAGAGCUAGGGUAUUACAGGUGAAUCUGUGUUCUUUUCCUGAUAAUUUUUGCAUGAGCAGGAUUAAAAAAUAGCUGGGAAUAUAUUUGUAAAUACACUAUGUGAUGUAAUAAGUCUAUUACACUUAAAAGGUAUGAACAAAACUUGAGAGACCAUAGCAGUAGUGCUGUUUGAACUUACAAUCUUAGCUUUGUUCUUUUUGACUAAUAUUUUCCUUUUGCUUAUGUAAAAUUGCAACAGAAUAAAUCCAAUGCAUAUGGACUUCACAUGAUGAAGUUGAGCCACUGCAGAAAUUAUUCUAAUCAGAUAGCAUAAAAUAGCGGUAAGGAAGACAGUGGGCUUUGAGCAGUAGAUAAAGAAAAGCUCAGAUGGAUUCAAAAUUAAAUAAAGCUUCUUCUUUUCUAGCUCAGGCUGAGAGAAAGCAUGGACCUAAGGAAUUUAAAUCAACGCCUAAACCCGAAUUGCAAACUCAAAACAUACUGGCUACUCAGAGUCCAACCUUGAAAUCUGUAUUUCUACCUUCAGCAGAAACCAGAAAGAUGGAGAUAGCUUUUGAUGAAACACAGCCUGUUUCUUCGAGAUUCAAAACAUCUGGUACCACAGAAGUGCAACCAACCAAGUCUGCUUCAUACGGUUUUCUUCAUGUUACUUCUACUCAAACUUUUACAGCUUCAGAAAUACCAGACACUGAUUUAGGUGAAACGAAGCCUUUUUCUUCAAGAUCCAUAACAUCUGGCAUGCCAGAAAUGCCACCAGUCUCAGCUGCUACUCAGAGACCAAAGGUGAAGCCUUCUCCUCCUUCCAUUGCAAUCCAAGGGACAGUGGAGGCGACCCAGAGACGGGCUCCGGAAUCCACCUCGUCUGCUUCACCGGAAACCACGAGGACUGUGAUGGCUACCCGGCGACCAAGGCUGAAAUCUACCUCUUCUUCCCCCCUGGCGACCCAGCAAACAGUGACGGCUUCGAAUAACCUUCUUCAUGUUACUUCCACUUCCCAAAUAUCUGCAUCUGCAAAAAUGUCAGAGACAGAGACUGCUACCCAGGAGCCAGGCCUGGAAUUCACAUCUCUUCCCUCCAUGGAAACCACAGAGAGCGUGAUGGAUUUUAUUUCAGCUUUUGAUGAAAAGCAGCCUGUUUCUUCAAGAUCUGAAACAUCUGGCAUCCAAGAAAUGCUGUCAGCUGUACCUGGUAAUAGUUGAAAAUG